GUACAGCUGUGACUAGCAUAUCAAUAAGCGGAGGAAAAGAAACUAACAAGGAUUCCCCUAGUAACGGCGAGUGAAGCGGGAAGAGCUCAAAUUUGAAAUCUUAAAGGGUUUCCCUUUACGAAUUGUAGUUUAAAGAAGUGUUUUCUGUUGAGGUUUUGGUAAAAGUUCUUUGGAAUAGGACAUCAUAGAGGGUGAGAAUCCCGUAUUUGACCUUUACUUUCAACUUUGUGAUACACUUUCAAAGAGUCGGAUUGUUUGGGAAUGCAGUCCAAAAUGGGAUGGUAAAUUUCAUCUAAAGCUAAAUAUUGGCGAGAGACCGAUAGCGAACAAGUACCGUGAGGGAAAGAUGAAAAGAACUUUGAAAAGAGAGUUAAACAGUACGUGAAAUUGUCAAAAGGGAAGCGUUUGACACCAGUGUUGUUUUUCUGAAAAUCAAUUAAAGAACUGUUUAUGCUAAGUUGUUUAGACUUUAUCAGCUAUCUGUUUAGUUUUGAGCUUUUCUUUAAUGCACUUUUCAGUUAACAAGUCAACAUCAAUUUCUUUUGCUGUAAAAAAGCUUGAAGAAGGUGGCUUGAGAUUCGUCUUAAGUGUUUAUAGCCUCUUGCCUAUGCAGUCGGAGAGAUUGAGGUCUGCAGCGUAGAUCCUUCGGGGCUAAAUGCAUUUGUGCUAAGUUAUAGCAUUUUAUAGACAACUUGUUGACUAUGAUUUGUCUUGUAGCUUACUCGCUUAUGUUAUUUUACCUACGCUUAGGAUGUUGAUAUGCAUGACUGAUAU
rnacentral:rRNA from 1 species